CCAGGUUACAGUCCAAAACCACAACUUGGUUUGGCUCCAAUAUCACCUUUGCAGGACCAGCACUACAGCUCAGCUCCACAGAAUCCCCUUCCAACAGCCUCCCUUGCACGGCCAGCACAGCGAAGCAGACACAAAGCAGAUCCUCCAGCGCCAUGUAAGCCCUGCCGGGCGCCGGGAGCUGGGGCCGCCGCGACCGCAUUUACGAGGGGAGCGCGCUCUCCCGCCGCCCCACCGCCAUCUUGUGCGAGCGCCCCGGCCCCGCGCUGCCCGCCGGGCC
rnacentral:lncRNA from 1 species